GGAUCGUCGGCCCCGCGCCGGCGACUCGCCGAAUGAGUUUCUGACCUAUCAACUCGAGACGGCGGGGUAGAGGCCCGCCGCGGUAACGACGGGUAACGGGGAAUCAGGGUUCGAUUCCGGAGAGGGAGCCCGAGAAACGGCUACCACUUCCAAGGAAGGCAGCAGGCGCGCAACUUACCCCUAAUCUCGAUUCGAGGAGGUAGUGACAAGAAAUACCGAUGCGGGACCCUACGGGGUGCCGCGUUCGGAAUGAGUACGAUUCGAACCACCUAACGAGGAACGAUCGGAGGGCAAGUCUGGUGCCAGCAGCCGCGGUAAUUCCAGCUCUAAUAGCGUAUAUUAAUACUGUUGCAGUUAAAACGCUCGUAGUUGAACUUAGAAUUAUUACAAGUUAUUUUACUUGAUUGUAAAGUGCUUGCUUAAUUCUUAUCUACUAGAUACUCUAUUCUGUACUUAAUUGUAUGGAAUAUCACCUAGCCAGUGGAACUUUGGUGAAAUAAUGCCUUUUUAAUACCAGAGUGUAAAAAACUUGAAGUGUUAAUUUGGGAUCACAUUAUUUUAUU
rnacentral:rRNA from 1 species